GUAGUUCUCUCUAAGUGAAUGAUUGCUUUUCCAGAUAUUGCAAAAGGCCUAAUAAUAGAUGUAUGUUUAUCUACCCAAGAGAGUGCCGAACAGAAAUGUUUAGUGUUUUUGGAUUCAACUGGAAUACUUAGAAAGUUUCAUGAAAGAAGAGGCAGUUAUCGAUCAAUGUACUAUCAAUGUAUUUCAUUUACUGGAUACAGCACCAUACAGACAGCAAGUACUAAAUACUUGUUUAUUGAAUAAAUGUUGGCUAAUGCAUAAUGAUCAGGAUCUUUAAUCAAUAGUUUUAUUGCCUUUAAUUAUAAAUAGAUGAGCAGGUUACUUAAAAAGUCUUGGCUGGGCACGGUGGCUCAUGCCUGCAAUCCCAGCACUUUGGGAGGCCGGGGUGGGCGGAUCACCUGAGGUCAGGAGUUCGAGACCAGCCUGACCAACAUGGUGAACCCCUUCUCUAUUAAAAUACAAAAAUUAGCCAGGAGUGGUGGUGUGCGCCUGUAAUCCCAGAUACUCGGGAGGCUGAGGCAGGAGAAUCGCUUGAACCCAGGAGGCAGAGGUUGUAGUGACCUGAGAUCUUACCACUACACUCCAGCCUGGGCGACAGAGCGAGACUCUGUCACACACACACACAGAAAGGCUCCCAAACCCAAAUGUCAUUCACCACCUGCUGGCUGGCGCCUAAAGUCUACACAGUUAGAGUGUAGGUUUUUGUUCAAGUCCUGCUCCCUUACUCGCUAGCAGUGCAGUUUGAGGUAAGUCUCUUGAGAUUCUAUUUCCCAUCUUUAAAAUGGAGAUGGUGGAGACAAUAUGCUCCACUUAAGAACAUUGAGAGGAUCAAAUAUGAGAAUACAUAUAAACUGCUUAGGAUAGUGCCUGCUACACAGUAAAUGUCAAUAAAUAUUGGAAUUAAUGCUACGGCCACCACAGUUUCAUCCCAUUGCCAAAGGUUUUGUCCAUUUGUUCACACCAAGGGAAAGAUAGCCUAGUGGUUAAGGUCUGCCAUUUACCCCACAGUGAGAGUGACUCUUAAGAUUCUACCCUAUUGGCCGGGCGCGGUGGCUCACGCCUGUAAUCCCAGCACUUUGGAAGGCCGAGGCGGGCGGAUCACAAGGUCAGGAGAUCGAGACCAUGGUGAAACCCCGUCUCUACUAAAAAUAGAAAAAAAUUAGCCGGGCGCAGUGGCGGGCGCCUGUAGUCCCAGCUACUCGGGAGGCUGAGGCCGGAGAAUGGCAUGAACCCGGGAGGCGGAGCUUGCAGUGAGCUGAGAUUGCGCCACUGCACUCCAGCCUGGGUGACAGAGCGAGACUCCGUCUCAAAAAAAAAAAAAAAAAAA
rnacentral:lncRNA from 1 species